rnacentral:rRNA from 1 species
UAAAGACUCUCGGCAACGGAUAUCUCGGCUCUUGCAUCGAUGAAGAACGUAGCGAAAUGCGAUACUUGGUGUGAAUUGCAGAAUCCCGUGAACCAUCGAGUCUUUGAACGCAAGUUGCGCCUGAAGCCAUUAGGCUGAGGGCACGCCUGCCUGGGUGUUGCAC